GCAGGAGUCAGGGACCUCCCCUCAGUGAUGAUGCUAUCCUUGGGUUGGAUCCAAUCUGAAGCUGCCAUUGGUAACUUGACAAAAAUCACUGCUGUUGAAAAUGACCGCCAGAAAGCUGGAGGUCGCCUUUUCUCCUCUCCACUUUCUGCUUUGCAGUUGACUUCUGACUCCAGGCAUCUCUCCCGGAAGGGCCAGACUUCCAUGCUGUGAGUGAUCUGGCGGCAGAGGAAACAAAUGUCUUUGCAGUUCGCCUCUCUUCUCCCCCAGAGAGAGGGCUGACGUCCUGCACACACUGAUACGUCAUGCACCAGAACAACAAGUUCAUGAGCCAAACAAAAGUCUCUGCAACGUCUGCUUGGACACCAUCUUGCUGUCAUGACCACUAAGGCAACUCCUUAGGAUGAGUCAAGCCAUUUCUUCCAGAAUCUGGAGGACGAUGCAAGCUCACAGCCCUCUUGGCCAGGCCUGGCUUGGCUUUCUUCUGCCUGCCCUCCUCGAGUGGGGCCAUCUGACUUCCCACUUCAUGAGGGGCACACGAAUCCCAGCCAAAGGCAAUUAAAACCCUCACACUUGAUAUUCAUGUCAGAGGAAGCCUCAAGACUCCACGGAGGUGCUGAGGGAACCCUGACCUCCUGCUGAACACCUGACCACGGGGUGCCCAAGACAACCAGGGAGAGCCCGCCCUGAGGAGAAGCUCUUUGUAUGUAAAGCAGCCUCUUCAUUCGCUUGCUUUUCAUACCUGAGCUUCAAGUGAUCACCCAUGUGUUAUCAAACAUCCCAGUAGACAGGGAAACAUUUAUCUCCUGAUCCUCAGCUAAAGAGAUGGAGUCAAUUCAGUAAACAUGACUAAGCGCCUACAGUGGACAAUUCUCUGGAUGGAUGACAAGACACUAGAUAUUUGGAUGCCUCAUCUGAAUUGAAUUAAUGGUAAAAACUGCUACCACUGAACUGAUCAAGCAUUUGCUAUGUACCAGGCACUAAGCCAAGUGCUUUUGAUCCUUGGUGUCACUCAACCCUUGAAACAGCUGUAUGUGAGGCAGGAACGAUUACUGUCCUUACUUUACAAUGAAGACACAGAGGCCCAGAGAGGUUAACAAAGUUGCCCAAAGUCACACAGCUAGUAAGUAGCAGAGGAGGAUGCAAAUGCAGGUUUGCCUGGUUCUCAAGUCUACAUGGAGUUUGGCAUGGUGAGUGUAUGUGUGCAUGUGAUUAGCUUGUCAUAUGGAAAACAAGUCUGAAAUGUAGACACUGUUCAAAUAUGCCAUUAAGAGAAGUACAGGCCAGGUUUUACAAGCGGGCCCCGGGGCAAAAUUUUAAGAACAAAUUAGGCUCAGAUGGUAAAGAAUCCAUCUGCAAUGUGGGAGACCUGGGUUUGAUCCCUGGGUUGGGAAGAUCUCCUGGAGGAGGGCACGGCAACUCACUCCAAUAUUCUUG